rnacentral:lncRNA from 1 species
AGUUUUCAUCGCUAGACCAAAUGUACAACCGCCUGAUGUCCUGCUCUAGGAUCCCCUCCUCAACCCAACCGAUCUUGAGUUCCCCAAGCUUCCGACCCUGCGCCCUCCGCCAGGACCCCUGCGUACAAGCCUCUCACCCCGAACGUUGAUGUUGAAGCCACAGCGAAUACAGGUGACCGUAUCCUGAGCCCCGGGCAGAGGCAGGACCGAGCCGCAAUCUGAACAGAAAUCCAGGUCCGACUGAAAGCUGGAGCAAGUAUUGGCGAGGUCCAUGACAGACAUGCGGUCGGGUCUGAGGAGGGAGUUGGAAGUUUAUUAACAAAAGAGAGAAGAGUUCCUGUCCCAGAGGUCGUAACUAUUCUGUCCCAGGACCUAGGAGUAUAUAACCCGAACCCUCCUGCCACGCACGCCUCCUGCCUCUGCGACCAAGGAGCCGAAACGCCCGGAAUUCCCAGACAGCGUCGGGUACUAAAGGACUUGGAACCCUUUCCAGGGGCCGGUGAGAGGAGUUAACCAACUCCGUGGGCUAGAGCGCCAGCUCUGCGCCCGCGGCGGGGCAGCGAGAUAGAGCCGGCUAGAGCGUCAGGCUUUCGCGUUGACGAUUGGCUGUGACGUCAUAAUUAAUUGCGAACCGUGUCUCGGGAGCGUUAGAGAUGGAGACUAACGUCUUCCAAGGGAGAUUGCGUCUCCACUUUCACCCUGGUACUGAGAGGUUGAGCACAAAAUUGGAACGCAGUCGCGGGGUAUAUCCCCCUGAAAACCGUACGUUGCCAAAUAAUGAUUUCUUUGGAUUAGAGAACUACAACUCCCCUGGGUCCUGAGCCGGUAUUUCCCUUUUGCGGCUGCACCGUAGUUAAAAACAAAGCUAAGUGUUCUGGGACGUAUAGUUCUAGCGUUCCUUGGGUCCCGCUGGCGAGCGUGGGCUUUCUGCAGCUCGCAACCGGCCUCGUGCUUUGCGGACGGUUCACUGCGCUUGGAAAGGGAUUGGCCUGGGGUACAUCAUCUAAAGAUCCUAGGAUUGCUGCAGGUCAGCAGUCUCCACUGGAAAAAAAGAUCUUGCAUGUAUUUCAAGUCCUCUGAUGAAUCAUGUGAUCUACUAGACCCUGAAGAUACAGUGAAGAGCAAAAGAACACAGAUGAAAUGAGAAACAAAAACGAUGGAGAAAACCAAAAAAGGGGACACAUGGGAUCCAGGCAAUAGGAGAGCCAGCAUAAGAGAGAGCCAGAGGGAUGCCCAGGAUGAGGUGAAGACGAUCUUGGAAAUCAGCCCAGAUGUGCAUGCACCAGUCCACGUGUGGCAGGACCAAGGGAAGUGUCUUCACAAAGAUGAGGUUGGUAGAACACGGGGCAUGGUUGAAUAUAUUCAUGGAGACUGUCUUAGUUCAUUUAUGCUGCUAUAACAGAAUGCCAUAGUCUGGGUCAGUUAUGAAGAACAGAAAUUUGUUUUCUCAGUUGUGAGGCUAGGAAUCCAAGAUCAAGCCACCAGCAUUUGGCAAGAGCCUUCUUGCUGUGUCUUCACAUGGCAAGUGGGUCAAGGGCAAGAGAGAGGACAAUAUUAUUAUUAUGGGCUCACUGCCAUAAUAAUGAUAUUAAUUUGUUCAUGAGGGCUCUGCGCUCAUGACUCAGACAGCUUCUAUUAGGCCUUACUUUCCAAUAUCACUGCAUUGGGGAUCAAGUUUCCAACACAUGAACUUUGGGGAACACAUUCAAACUAUAGCAGAGGCCUUGGAGGGAAAUUUGGAAGAGAUUUUAUAAUGAGUACAACAGAAAUUAAGCACAUGAAGGGAUAAAACAUUUAUUAAUUCCAGGGAAAUUAAAAAGUCAAUUCCAGGAAGGAAAAUAAUCCUUGUGAAUAGCAUUUCCUAAUCUAAUUGUGAACAGCAUUUCCUAAUCUAAUUGUGAAUAGCAUUUCCUAGUCUAGCUGUGAAUAGCAUUUCUGUGGUCAUAAUAAUAUAAAUAGUGAACACCCAGCUAACCAAAAUUAUAAAAUAACUAUAUUGAGAGGAGAGGGGUAUAUGAAAGGGAGCUAUACACUAAGGAUGAUACAUAAGAGUGAAAAACAAAACGGCACUAUAACACACUAUUUGGAGGCACAGAUGUAACGAUCAAAAAAUUAGGCAGAAUAAAGUAGAUUGCCUCUAGGAUUCAGGAAAUGGUGUACAUGAAAGAUUGGGGACAUCUGUGUUCAUAACAAGCCUUGUAGAAGUAUUUGGCUUUUGAAACACUGUCCAUAAAUCCAUUUGAUAUAUUAAAAACAUCAUGAGACAAUUGACUAAGGAAUUAUUCUAUAAGGAGUGUCAGAGAAAUGGGGCGGUAAUUGGAGGGAGACAUGGAAUCAGGCAAUGGAUUUAUUUAUUUUAUUUUUAAUUGUUUUGCUUCCACUUAAAUUGCAUGUUUUAUUUCUCCCAAUCCCAGCAAUAGCACAGAAGCCCCAUCAUAUCCAUCCCAAACUGGUUUCGAGUAGGUUAAGGUUAUUGGGACCCUUGUCGGAACAUUGAUACAAAGAGCUCCCAAACACCGGGCACAAAUGUGUCUGCAAACAGAUGGAAGUAAACAGUGCACUGGCCCAAAUGCUUCAUGAGUCAGUUUGAUUUUGCAAUGCAAUUUUCAUCCUUGAAACGGCCAGUCUGGAGGGGGAAGGGGUAGCGUGAGGGAGUGAAGUUGAAAUUGCCUCCUAUU